rnacentral:lncRNA from 1 species
AUUAAAGAUUGUUCAUUAUAUUAUUGUUUGCAAUCAUAAGCUAUUCACGGCGAGACUCAAAAUGUAUAACUACUUAUUCAUGAGAACAUACAAUAAUAAACUGAAAGACAUGGCUUACUAAAAUCAAAUCCAGCCCAACCUAAAUAAAGAAACAUUCAUUAAGCUUACGGAAAUAAUACAUGAGCUCACAAAACCAUUUGGGCUUGAAAUUGGGCCCUAAAGGCAAAGACUGAACUUCACACAAAGGGCAGCCCCAAAUAUGAAUUUCAGCAGGCUGCUUCGGUUUGAACUUAACCAAGGCCAAAUCAAACAUUUGAAUCCCCAAAAUUAAAACAGGAAAUAAAAUAAUUUCAAGAACAACUAUUCUCAGAGUUGUACAUUAAACUUACUAAGGACACACACUUAGGCGCAUUAAUUACAUCCCAUCCUGUGAAACGUAAGUUCAUAUACAAAUAUUUAUACAGUCCUAUUAUUACACAACUCUUAGUAUCGGGUAACAAACUUUACAUCAGUAACGAGCUCUUCUUGGCUGUUAAAACUCAUGCCAUUGUUUUUUUGAAACUAGUAUGUAAAAUGAUAAACUAAUCUAAUAUAAAGCUAUUAUAGAUUUGUAUACUAACAGAAGACCCUUGCUUCUUUUGAACAUGACUUGUCCAUAGCAGCCUCAUCUUAUUCCUUAACAUGUAGAUCAUACCAUAAAGCUUCCAAAGCCAAUUUAUCCAACCAACUAGUGGUUGAACCAACAGACUACAGCUCAAGACCAAACAGACAAAGGAAAAGAAAAAGAAAAAUGAAAACAGUAUGUUGAGUAGAGGGAAUCAGAUGAAGGGGAGAAGGAAAGCAUCACAAACGAUACCGACUAAAUGAUAUUAUAUGGCAAAGGCUAUUUGUGAUGUUUCUUUUAAAGAAUUUUCCUACAUAUUGAAAUGCAUAUAAAGACACAUGAAAGGCUGAUGCAGAACAAUGAACAACACAUUAAUUUCUACUAUUGAAUUAUACAAUCAUACACACAUAGUCAUGAAUAACUUCAGAUUGCACAAACUAGUUCAUUCUCAUAGCUAGAGUGUAGUUACAUACCUAUAGAUAAUUCAAGAAAGACCAAAUAAAUGUCACUAAAACAAUUGAGCUUUCCAAAAUAUAAUAAAAAGCAGCAAGCAGCAAAUGAAAACCAAAUCACAACCAUGUCUAGCCUCAAGAACCCAGAUAUUUCAGCCAAGGAAAACCAAGAAAGAACCUUCUACCUCACAUCAUCUUUUUAGAUUUUAAGAGAACCAAGGAGGAAAGUUUUCUAGAUUUGAAACCUAGUCUUUUUAGCAGAGGAAAUUAGGAUUUUGUGGAGUAAAUUAGUGCUGGAAAUCUGUCUGUGAGAGUAAGUGUUGUUCUAUUUUAGAAAGUGUCCAAGGAAUGACAUCAAAAAGGAAUAUUUUGGCCUAAAAUCCUAAUUUUCAUAAUAGUACUACCCUUUUUGACACCUUUUUCUCUUAUCUAAUAUCAGCAUCGGCAAAGGAUAGGGACAACUAUCUUAAGUUCUAGAACAUUCUGAUAUUUUUAAAUGUAAAAGUUCAGUUUUAACUUUUAAAAUCAACUUAUUUCAAUUCUACCAAGACUUUUUUGGUUUAGGUAGGUCCCUAAGGUUCCUAUUUGUUGGCAAAUCAUGGCAAACAAAAACAAACCUAGAGAACAUUAUAAAUUCAAAUAAAAAAAGGCCUAGGAUAAUCAUGAUACUGCCAUCUGGAACUAAAAACUAAAUCAAUCCAAGAGAAGAAAAGUUCACCCAAUUAAACCUAAACUAGACAUAGGAUCAUUAAAACCGUUAUAAUUAAACACAAAUAGACUAAAGACUCUAAACAAAUUUGAACCUAACAUUAAUCUAACUUAACGAGAUUUAGGAUUGCUUCCAUCAACUUACUGGACAAGAACAAAUAAAAAUAGAAUGAAAAAGAAAAAGAGAUAGCAUGCAAUCAAACACAAAAACGAAAAACAAAAAGAGCAAGAAAAAUGAAACAAGUUAAAGAUCCUAAAAAUUCAAUUCAUGUUAAGGAUUAAUUAACCAAAAAAAUAAAAGGGAAAUAGAGAUGUCUGAAUAAAACCUAAUCAACACAUUCAUUUUCUUUUGUUUUCAAAGUUUUCAACCAGUAAACAAAAACAUAAGUAAAAAAUGAAACAGGGCAAAAAAAAUAAGGGGAAAGCAAUACCUAAUGAGACUUAAGAGUGAAAGGAAUGACCCCGAACUCGGACAAAGAUGGCCAGGCUUCGAUUGCUUUGAGUUGGUUCCAAAAUUACUCUAAGCAAUUGUUCUUGCUAGAAACGAUUAUUUAAUGUAAAUUUGGACUCCACUCUUAUCUUGAAACUCGAGGAACCAGAAGAGAAAUUGGCAAAAUGAGUAAGCUAGGUUUCUGUGUUUCCAGAUUUGGAAUCAACGGAAUUGGGUAAGUCUUUUGGGGGAAAGAUUAGUAGAUUAUUGUAAAGGGGCGGUUGGGGAGUGUAUAUGGUGAAUUUGGGGAGGUUUGGGUAGACUAGGGUUUUGGGGCUCCGACUUUUGAUCUAAGAUUCAAAGAAUUUAACAGGGAUUUGGGGAAACUAGUUAAGAGAUUCGUAAAAAGGAGGCAAAGGGGAGUCUGUGGUGUUGAUUUGGGGUGGAUUGGAGCGUUGGAGCCACUGUGAGGCCAUUCCCAGCGGGUGGUUGACGAUGAAGCGACGAUGGAGCUGCUAGGGUUUGGGUCUUUGAGAGGAUGAGAGAUGGAGUGAGAGAGGGGGGGCCUUAUGGGGAUCGGUCCCUUUGGACAGUAAUAU